rnacentral:rRNA from 1 species
GAUGAACGCUGGCGGCGUGCCUAAUACAUGCAAGUCGAGCGAACGGACGAGAAGCUUGCUUCUCUGAUGUUAGCGGCGGACGGGUGAGUAACACGUGGAUAACCUACCUAUAAGACUGGGAUAACUUCGGGAAACCGGAGCUAAUACCGGAUAAUAUUUUGAACCGCAUGGUUCAAAAGUGAAAGACGGUCUUGCUGUCACUUAUAGAUGGAUCCGCGCUGCAUUAGCUAGUUGGUAAGGUAACGGCUUACCAAGGCAACGAUGCAUAGCCGACCUGAGAGGGUGAUCGGCCACACUGGAAGUGAGCCACGGUCCAGACUACUACGGGAGGCAGCAGUAGGGAAUCUUCCGCAAUGGGCGAAAGCCUGACGGAGCAACGACGCGUGAGUGAUGAAGGUCUUCGGAUCGUAAAACUCUGUUAUUAGGGAAGAACAUAUGUGUAAGUAACUGUGCACAUCUUGACGGUACCUAAUCAGAAAGCCACGGCUAACUACGUG